rnacentral:rRNA from 1 species
AAACCCUCAUGCAGCCAUGCCGCGUGUGUGAAGAAGGCCUUCGGGUUGUAAAGCACUUUCAGUCAGGAGGAAGGUGGUGUAGCUAAUAUCUGCACCAAUUGACGUUACUGACAGAAGAAGCACCGGCUAACUCCGUGCCAGCAGCCGCGGUAAUACGGAGGGUGCAAGCGUUACUCGGAAUCACUGGGCGUAAAGAGCACGUAGGCGGCCUUGCAAGUCAGAUGUGAAAUCCAACGGCUUAACCGUUGAACUGCAUUUGAAACUGCAAGGCUAGAGUAUGGGAGAGGUAGGUGGAAUUCUCGGUGUAGGGGUAAAAUCCGUAGAGAUCGAGAGGAAUACUCAUUGCGAAGGCGACCUGCUGGAACAUUACUGACGCUGAGGUGCGAAAGCGUGGGGAGCAAACA